rnacentral:lncRNA from 1 species
AUGCAAAGAUGGAGCAAGGGCCGACUGGAGUCACACUGACAUCCACCCCCAUAACAUGGGGACAGAUCAAGAAAACAAAGCAGGAAGCUGAGAAAAUGCUGGAGCAUCCAUGUGCUUGGCCAUGUUAGCAGUAGUGUCCUGUGAGAUGUUGAAGGAUGGGCUGGAUUGACUUGGAACCUUGUUUCAGCAGAGCCCACGUGUUCAUGAAGAAAACAUUUGCUCACAGCUUAUUUCUACCACUGCCUCUCUUUCAGUGUUUUAAAAACCUAUAGCUAUGUGUUCACAAUUGUUUUUAUUUUGAAUGUAUUACUGUCAUUUUUCUGGGAAAAUAUUUACAUGUUUAGGAUUCGUGCCAUCAGAAUUUUGGACAUUGAAAGAGACAUUUCUUUUGCUUGGGGAUAUAAAAGAUGGUCCUGGAAUAUUUUUCCUUUUUUUGAAAUGGAGUGUUACUCUGUCACCCAUGCUUAAGUACAGUGGCACGAUCUUGGCUCACAGCAACCUCUGCCUCUGAGGCCCAAGUGAUCCCCCCCAGUCAGCCUGCCAAAUAGCUGGGACCACAGAUGCAC